CCUACGGGUGGCAGCAGUCGAGAAUCAUUCACAAUGGGGGAAACCCUGAUGGUGCGACGCCGCGUGGGGGAAUGAAGGUCUUCGGAUUGUAAACCCCUGUCAUGUGGGAGCAAAUUAAAAAGAUAGGACCACAAGAGGAAGAGACGGCUAACUCUGUGCCAGCAGCCGCGGUAAUACAGAGGUCUCAAGCGUUGUUCGGAAUCACUGGGCGUAAAGCGUGCGUAGGCUGUUUCGUAAGUCGUGUGUGAAAGGCGCGGGCUCAACCCGCGGACGGCACAUGAUACUGCGAGACUAGAGUAAAGGAGGGGGAACCGGAAUUCUCGGUGUAGCAGUGAAAUGCGUAGAUAUCGGGAGGAACACUCGUGGCGAAGGCGGGUUCCUGGACAUUAACUGACGCUGAGGCACGAAGGCCAGGGGAGCGAAAGGGAUUAGAUACCCGUGUAGUC
rnacentral:rRNA from 1 species